GCCAGGUGUGGUGGCUCACGCCUGUAAUCCCAGCACUUUGGGAGGCUGAGGCAGGAGGAUCACUUGAGGCCAGGAGUUCAAGACCAGCCUGGCCAACAUGGUGAAACCCUGUCUCUA
rnacentral:SRP_RNA from 1 species